UGGGGAAUUUUGGACAAUGGGCGAAAGCCUGAUCCAGCAAUGCCGCGUGUGUGAAGAAGGCCUUCGGGUUGUAAAGCACUUUUGUCCGGAAAGAAAUCCUUGGCUCUAAUACAGUCGGGGGAUGACGGUACCGGAAGAAUAAGCACCGGCUAACUACGUGCCAGCAGCCGCGGUAAUACGUAGGGUGCAAGCGUUAAUCGGAAUUACUGGGCGUAAAGCGUGCGCAGGCGGUUUGCUAAGACCGAUGUGAAAUCCCCGGGCUCAACCUGGGAACUGCAUUGGUGACUGGCAGGCUAGAGUAUGGCAGAGGGGGGUAGAAUUCCACGUGUAGCAGUGAAAUGCGUAGAGAUGUGGAGGAAUACCGAUGGCGAAGGCAGCCCCCUGGGCCAAAUACUGACGCUCAUGCACGAAAGCGUGGGGAGCAAACAGGAUUAGAUACCCUGGUAGUCCACGCCCUAAACGAUGUCAACUAGUUGUUGGGGAUUCAUUUCCUUAGUAACGUAGCUAACGCGUGAAGUUGACCGCCUGGGGAGUACGGUCGCAAGAUUAAAACUUAAAGGAAUUGACGGGGUCAUAGCUGUUUCCU
rnacentral:rRNA from 1 species